CGGCAGCCGCGAUGGGAGCCCAGAUGGCGCGGGGUCCUCAGAUCCCGGUCCGGGACCUGUUCGAGGAUCUGGGCAAGUCUGGGAUGUGCGAUUUGGCAGAGGGGACCUGGAGACCCAGUUGCUGCUUCUUCCUUCAUAUAGUUCCGUGGGUUCAGGCUCCGUGGGGGCCCGGGCAGGGAAUUCGGACGCUUUCUGUCUCGGCCCUGGACCUUCGUCCUGUGGUGACUGCUUGAGUCCUGUCUGCACCUGGAUCCUGUUCGUCAUCCAGCAUCUGAUGCCAUUACCUCUGUCUCUGCCUUGGAGCACAAACACACAGAUCCGAUAGAUUCACGUGUUGGAUGUUUCCCUCUUCCUGUGUCUGCACAUGUUGGUUAAGGAAAGUUCCUCGAAUUAAAGCUGCAGUUUAGCUUCUGAAAGAACUCUGAAUGAUCCAAGUUCAAAUUCAACUAUGCUCCUUUCUGCCAAAGGCCGCUGAGAACCGGCCCCAGACCUCCUCUGAAGACAUCGCCAGUGUGUGGAGCCUGCCCCACACCCACCCCCUGCCAAACCACGGCCUUUACCUGUGUCUUCCGGUGUUUCCCCUGCGACCCGUCCUGUGGGAGUGCCUCGUGGGCCGCCCCAGAGUUCGCCCCACGCUCCACGGCGCCAAUGGUGAAGAUGACAAGAUCCAAGACUUUCCAGGCGUACCUGCCCUCCUGCCACCGGACCUACAGCUGCAUUCACUGCAGGGCCCACUUGGCCAAUCAUGAUGAACUCAUUUCCAAGUCGUUCCAAGGAAGUCAAGGACGAGCGUACCUCUUUAACUCAGUAGUUAACGUGGGCUGUGGGCCUGCGGAAGAGCGAGUGUUGCUAACAGGACUGCAUGCAGUUGCAGACAUUUACUGCGAAAACUGCAAAACCACUCUGGGCUGGAAAUAUGCUCUGCUGGAUUACCCACAGAAGAUAAAUCUGAGGUGGUUGGCUUUGCUCCUUACUUCAGGUCAAAUGAGUCACUCCUUUGGCAAAGCGUUUUUUAAAAGCCUUUGUGCUGGAUACAAAAGUGAAGAGAUCUCGCCCUCGCCCUCAGGGAGUUUACAGUCAGCAGGCCAGGGAGGGAGGAAAGCCACAGGCAAACAGAUAGAGCAGUUGGCAAGUAUAACGUCUGCACCUGACCGGAGGGAGACAUCUGUCCCCCCGAAUAGUCGUCGGUCCCCUCUUUGGGGCCAGACCCAGGGCUCCAGUCUUUCGUGCCAUUACUCCUUCUGACCCUCACCAUCAUCCUGUGAAAUGUUAAUAACUACCCCAGUUUUGUAAGUGCAAAGUUUAUAAUUUUGUAAAUUAUAAACAGUUAAGUGAUGCUUCUGGUACUAGGAAGCAGAAGUGGAGUUCCGUCUAGGGUGCUGAGACUCCAGAAGCAAUACUCAGCCCCUGGAGUCCAGUUGUGCCAUUUUGCAGAUGCCCUGUGGCUUGGGAGCUGUUUGUUUUUUUUUAACUUAAUAGGGAUAUACUCUCACUUUACUAGUUUUGUUUUUUCCUCUCCCCACCCUGAACAUACUGUGGAACAAUAGGUUUUAUUCCUGAACCACAUUCUCUGUUGUAUACCCCCCCCACACACCUCCCCCAUCCCCACUAGGGAAUAAUGAAGCGUCAGGGAAAUUCCUGCUGAGCCCACAGCUCUGGUGUGUGGUAUGUUUUCGCGCGCUCUCGGUGCCCCUCCCCUCUCCGCUCUGUGGAAUGAUUCCUCUCAACAAAAGGCUGUAGUCUGAGCUCUCCUGCCACCCACGGCCCGAGCUCUAGAACAGAAGAGCCAGUUCAAGUGCUGCCCAGAACCUGUCGACAGUAGGAUUUGCUUACUUACUCACGUGGGGAUUCAGGAGGAAGAGCUGAUGUCCGCUGCUUCUCCAUCACGCUUAGCCAUCUAACGGCUCUGAUGAUACACCAAGAGGCUCUUAGGAACAUGCCUUUGAAAGCAGCCAGAAAUAUAAAGAAGGCAAAUACAUCAUUGAGCUAGCACACAUGAUCAAGGACAAUGGCUGGGAC